UACAGAGGUCUCAAGCGUUGUUCGGAUUCAUUGGGCGUAAAGGGUGCGUAGGCGGCGCGGUAAGUCGGAUGUGAAAUCUCGGAGCUUAACUCCGAAACUGCAUUCGAUACUGCCGUGCUUGAGGACUGGAGAGGAGACUGGAAUUUACGGUGUAAGCAGUGAAAUGCGUAGAGAAUCGUAAGGAAGACCAGUGGCGAAGGCGGGU
rnacentral:rRNA from 1 species